CGUACCUUUGAGUGGGCGAGGCGGGGCCGGAGAGGAACUGCGGUCAGAACAAUAACUUUUUUAGACCGAGGGACCCUCCCCUACCCCCCAGCCGCCCACCAGCGCCCUUCCCUCGAACCCCCGAUGCCCAGCGCGCCCAUCAGCCCGACCUCGACAGGAAUUUUCCAAAGAGUGACUCAGCUCAGUGGAAACAUUUGGACGCGGCGAUCACAUGGCGUGUCUCUCUGCCCCUAUCUGUGUGCCACGAGUGCCUCGAUAAAAUUUCGCUGACUGAUUGGGUGCCCUUCCCGACUCACGAUUCACAAGAGCGGCCACUCAAAGACUCAGAUUAUCCCUGGGGCGAGAGUGCGAGAGAGCGACGGCCAUGGUGCCCCCGCAUUGGAGGUCUGUGCUUGGGGGAGGCUGGAGGCUGAGGCGGAGGUGACGCGCUCCAACGACGACAAAAAAAGAGAGAGAGA